rnacentral:rRNA from 1 species
UACGUAGGGUGCAAGCGUUAAUCGGAAUUACUGGGCGUAAAGCGUGCGCAGGCGGUUGUGCAAGACAAGAUGUGAAAUCCCCGGGCUCAACCUGGGAAUUGCAUUUUGUGACUGCACGGCUAGAGUGUGUCAGAGGGGGGUAGAAUUCCACGUGUAGCAGUGAAAUGCGUAGAGAUGUGGAGGAAUACCGAUGGCGAAGGCAGCCCCCUGGGAUAACACUACGCUC